rnacentral:rRNA from 1 species
CGCGGUAUAUUAACUGUGCAAAGGUGGCAUAAUCAUUAGUUUUUUAAUUGAAGGCUUGUAUGAAGGGUUGGACAAAGAAUAAUCUGUUUCUAUUUUUGUUUUUGAAUUUGACUUUUAAGUUAAAAGGCUUAAUUGAAUUUAAGGGACGAUAAGACCCUAUAAAUCUUUAUAUUAAAUUAUUUUUAGUUAAUUAAUAAUGUAAUUUUAACAGUAAAAUAAAAUAUAUUGUGUUGGGGUGAUGAGAAUAUAAAAUUAACUGUUCUAAAUUGAAAACAAAUUUAUUUGAAUUAAUAAUAGAUCCUUAAUAGAGAUUAAAAGUUUAAGUUACUUUAGGGAUAACAGCGUUAUUUUUUUUGAGAGUUCAUAUCGAAAAAAAAGUUUGCGACCUCGAUGUUGAAUUAAAAGUU